rnacentral:lncRNA from 1 species
CCUGUCCGCUCAGUUGGGCCCCGACCCACGCACCUCCGAGGCAGCGCGGAGGGGCGGUACCAGCUCUCGAUUUGGGGCAGCGGACGCGCGCGGGCGAGGGAGCAUCUGUGCUGAGUGGGCGGUGGAACAAGACAUCUCUCAGCGGUGGCAGUUGAGAGGUGCCACGAAAUCCUCCGGUUACUGUUUUUUUGUACAAGAUAGAAGUCGGAAUCUUUGCGUCAAUGAUUCACUGGCUUAAGGCCAAGAAUAUCCACCUGGCACUUGAAAUGUGUGAAAAUUACUUGUCUAACUGGACCUCUGUGACUCCUUUAGCUGUAUACUUUAUAUGUCUCAGAAACAGAGUGUGUUUCGUGUGAUCUAGCUCAUACUCCACCGAAACGCCUACCAAACUUUUAUCAUGGGUUGAAAAGAAAGGGAAAGAACCAAAUACCAUUAAAGUAAAUUUUCAAGUAUAAGCUACUCCGAAUACAAUUUUGUAAUGCACAUCUCAUUUGAUAGCAAGACCUAAUUACUUGGUUGCUCAGUUCAAAAACUUUUAAUUUCUCCUUGGCAACUCAGUUUUCACCUGCAAUCUGUCAAGAGAGUUUGUUGGAUGUACUUUAAAAAUAAAUCAGAAUCAGGGUCUAGAACAUUUUCCCCUUAAUGUCAUUUUCACCUCUUUUUCUUGCUUAAAUCUCACUUUAACAAAGGUCAGCCUACUGACGCUAUUAAAAUAGCUACAGCCCCACUCCCAUUCUUAAUCCUUCCUACCUUGUUUGGUCUUGUUUCUUUCUUGCCAUGACUCUUACAACAGUCUGUAACUUUUUUAUUCCAUAUGUUUUUCUUUUAGUAUCUGUCUCAUCAAGUAAAAGCUGAGAUUUUGGUCUGUUCUAAGUACCUAGAAAUAAAAUGAAAAUUUUUAAGAUUUUCUGAGAAUAAAAAGAGUAAAGCAACAAAAAAUGACCAUUUUUUCAUUUUAAAUUUGCUAUUGGUUCC